CCAGCAUUUUAUCUUUGGAUAAUUCCUGUACACUCAUGAUCUUGUUUAUUUUCUUCCAAUUAUUUUAACCAACAGCUGCCAUGGGUGUUGUCUUGGCAAAGUAUCACACUGUGUCAGAGCUGCUGAAGCUGCUGUCCAAUGAGACACUGAGCACAGGAGAAAAAAUCAGUAUUAUUCUAACAAUUGGACACUGCACUGAAGUUUGUGAAGAGAACCAGUGUGAGCUGCUUCAGAACAAUGGUCUGCCACUCAUGAUUCAGGUAUUGACAGAAUCUCAGGACGAGGAACUCGUCAAAGCUGCUACUUUUGUGCUGCAGAACUGCAAACAAAUGAAAUGAUUCUUCUGGAAAAAAAAAUCAGUUUUUUUUUGGAGAGGAACUGUCUGCACUAAAUGGGAAGAUGAGUAUUAGCAUCUUCAGCUUUUAAAGAGAAACAACUGUUCUUGUGUAUUUUCCAGGAAAUCCAUCUUUAUUAAGAUGGAUUUUAGAUGGAUUUGAUACUGCAUACUUCCAGCCACUUAACACUGAUUUGAAUUACUGGGCUUUGAAACAUUGAAUAAUUCCCACUGAUCUCAGUGGAAACUUGAAGUGAUCAGUGAUGACUGCUCCCAAAGAUCCUAUUCCCCAUUUUAUCCCAGAAUGCCCAGAAAUGAACCAUAUUAAACUGACUCAUUCAGUGUGGCUCUAGAAUGCUAGUGCUCUACAUGGAGAAAUAUUUGGCCCUGACAUAGGUGCCUUUAUCACCACAUUUUAAGCUUUCAUAAAUACUAACAGAAAGACUCUUUGGAAAGCACCAAAAUAAAGUCAGUAGUUCAAGCAACAAUCUCCUUUGAAAAUCAGUGCAAUUUUCUUUAACUGAGGGUUUUACUGUGCUUUUCUUGCCUGUGUAAUUUUCUGCAAAUUGCAGUUUAAGUCUUUUCCUUUUCCCUUUCCUUUUACCUUUCCCUUCCUUCAGAAUGUGUUAGUAGUAGAGGUACGUAAUGACUGAAGGAGUUGUGGAAUGACACAGAUUUUUUUUUCUCCCUUCUUUUCAAAAUAAUACAUUCUACAUAUAAUAAUUAAGUAUGUUACUGUUCUGCCAGGUUGGUAUGCUCUCAUUUAAUCUACUGACAGUCUGGUUUUCCUUUCCAACUUGAAGGAUUGUUAUAAUAAUUACUGUUUUAUCUCUUUCAGGACAAUAUUGAGACUGGUAGAACAAUGAAAGCUCUACUUUCAAAAAUAAAAGACAAGAAACCAAGGAUAGUAAAAGGUAUAUCCCUGUAAGGUACAAGGAUAAAGCCCCUAACUGACAUCUUCAAAUCAUUUGGGUCAGUAGGCAAUGUAUGCUGAUAGGUGCUUGUUUGGCUUGAAGUUUGGAGUGGGAGGAAGCAAAUGCAGGAAGUAAUCCUUACCCAGCUGCUGAAAAAUUAAGUGUUUCUUAAAGUGGGAAAUUUAUCUGGGCACUACCAUCUUCACUGCUCAAAUUAAUAAAAAAAGCUUUUAUGGCUCUUUCCAUGUAGUCCAUGAAGUCUGAUGCGUUCCCUGUUUCUUACUUUAUGUUUGAAGGAAAUUCAUUUCUUUCCAUAGGUUUUCUAACACCACCUCAGUUGCCUCAAUACUAGAAUGACAGCACUCUGAAGAUUUCUUAAUACCCUCAACCAUAGAGGUUUUCAGAAUGUGAGAGUCUGUCAGCCCUGGGAAGAUGACUUCAAGUAGCAUUCUAGAUCUGCUUCUAGUAGAUCUCUAAAGAA